UGGGGAAUUUUGGACAAUGGGCGAAAGCCUGAUCCAGCAAUGCCGCGUGUGUGAAGAAGGCCUUCGGGUUGUAAAGCACUUUUGUCCGGAAAGAAAUGGCUCUGGUUAAUACCUGGGGUCGAUGACGGUACCGGAAGAAUAAGGACCGGCUAACUACGUGCCAGCAGCCGCGGUAAUACGUAGGGUCCAAGCGUUAAUCGGAAUUACUGGGCGUAAAGCGUGCGCAGGCGGUUGUGCAAGACCGAUGUGAAAUCCCCGAGCUUAACUUGGGAAUUGCAUUGGUGACUGCACGGCUAGAGUGUGUCAGAGGGGGGUAGAAUUCCACGUGUAGCAGUGAAAUGCGUAGAGAUGUGGAGGAAUACCGAUGGCGAAGGCAGCCCCCUGGGAUAACACUGACGCUCAUGCACGAAAGCGUGGGGAGCAAACAGGAUUAGAUACCCUGGUAGUCCACGCCCUAAACGAUGUCAACUAGUUGUUGGGGAUUCAUUUCCUUAGUAACGUAGCUAACGCGUGAAGUUGACCGCCUGGGGAGUACGGUCGCAAGAUUAAAAGCUUAAAGUGAAUUUGACGGGGGCUGCAUUAGCUGUUUUCC
rnacentral:rRNA from 1 species